UUGACGGGGCCCGCACAAGCGGUGAGCAUGUGGUUUAAUUCGAAGCAACGCGAAGAACCUUUACCAGGUCUUGACAUCCCGAUGCUAUUUCUAGAGAUAGAAAGUUACUUCGGUACAUCGGUGACAGGUGGUGCAUGGUUGUCGUCAGCUCGUGUCGUGAGAUGUUGGGUUAAGUCCCGCAACGAGCGCAACCCCUAUUGUUAGUUGCCAUCAUUCAGUUGGGCACUCUAGCGAGACUGCCGGUAAUAAACCGGAGGAAGGUGGGGAUGACGUCAAAUCAUCAUGCCCCUUAUGACCUGGGCUACACACGUGCUACAAUGGUUGGUACAACGAGUUGCGAGUCGGUGACGGCGAGCUAAUCUCUUAAAGCCAAUCUCAGUUCGGAUUGUAGGCUGCAAUUCGCCUACAUGAAGUCGGAAUCGCUAGUAAUCGCGGAUCAGCACGCCGCGGUGAAUACGUUCCCGGGCCUU
rnacentral:rRNA from 1 species